GAUGAAGAACGCAGUGAAAUGCGAUAAGUAAUGUGAAUUGCAGAAUUCAGUGAAUCAUCGAAUCUUUGAACGCACAUUGCGCCCGCCAGUAUUCUGGCGGGCAUGCCUGUUCGAGCGUCAUUACAACCCUCAGGCCCCCGGGCCUGGCGUUGGGGAUCGGCGGAGCCCCCCGUGGGCACACGCCGUCCCCCAAAUGCAGUGGCGGUCCCGCCGCAGCUUCCAUCGCGUAGUAGCUAACACCUCGCGACUGGAGAGCGGCGCGGCCACGCCGUAAAACACCCAACUCUUCUGAAGUUGACCCCGAAUCAGGUAGGAAUACCCGCUGAACUUAAGCAUAUCAAUAAGCGGAGGA
rnacentral:misc_RNA from 1 species